UAUUGUGUCAGAUAACGGACCAAAAUAGAAUGAGAAAAAUAUAAAAUUCGAUCUAAUACUCAAUAAACCGACGUGUCAACUAAGCCCACGUCUCCUCCGGGAUUAUAAAAGAAACCACAGUCAGUGACCAAUUCAGACGUUUCUAGAUUUCUUGUGAAAGAUAUCCGUUGAUCAUGUCGUUGAAGAUGUUAACUAUCGUGUUGUUGUGUGUUUAUGUUUGUGGGGUAAUAUCCAUGCCACAGGAACCACCAUCAGGAGGACCAGGAGGUCCGGGAGGCCCAGGAGGCCCAGGAGGUCCACCACCAACUGGGAAUCCACCACCACCUGGAGAUUCACCACCACCACCACCAAGUGGAGAUGGGAGGUGAUAUUGCAGGCUAACAGGCGUGUUGUACGGAUUAAAACCAGACAUAACUCUAGCGUAUAAUAGUCGAUGUCAAUAACCUAUCAUUGUCUGUAUGUUAAGGGAGCAAUAAAAACUACAACACAACUUGAA